AUUGAACGCUGGCGGCGUGCUUAACACAUGCAAGUCGAUCGGUAACAGGUGUAGCAAUACAUGCUGACGAGAGGCGGACGGGUGAGUAAUGCUUGGGAAUCUGCCUAUUAGUGGGGGACAACCCGGGGAAACUCGGGCUAAUACCGCAUACGCUCUACGGAGGAAAGCCGGGGACCGCAAGGCCUGGCGCUAAUAGAUGAGCCCAAGUCGGAUUAGCUAGUUGGUAGGGUAACGGCCUACCAAGGCGACAAUCCGUAGCUGGUCUGAGAGGACGACCAGCCACACCGGAACUGAGACACGGUCCGGAUUCCUACGGGAGGCAGCAGUGGGGAAUAUUGGACAAUGGGGGCAACCCUGAUCCAGCGACGCCGCGUGGGUGAAGAAGGCCUGCGGGUUGUAAAGCCCUUUCGGUGGGGAAGAAAGUCUCGACCUAAUACGUCGGGACCUUGACGUAACCCACUAAAGAAGCACCGGCUAACUCUGUGCCAGCAGCCGCCGUAAU
rnacentral:rRNA from 1 species